rnacentral:lncRNA from 1 species
AAACGUGUCAGAUCCCAGAGGUUGCGAUCGGCUAAGGUUCCGAUCUCGAGAAAGCUUAUCAGCGAAUCGGCCGAUUUGCUGUAAUAAAGAAAUCGGCUAUAAUACAGCCGAUUACCAGGCAACGUUGAUAAAGAAAACUACUAGAGCAAUCUAAACAACGCUACAGUAGCAAUACUGGAAAUAGAUCUAAAUCGGCUAUGUGAAAAGUGGUAGAUUAAGUAACAAGAUAUAAGAAAGCCAAAAGUUCUAAUUCCAAGCUGGAUAACUGGUGAUAAAACUAGAACA